rnacentral:rRNA from 1 species
CCCUUAGAUGUCCUGGGCCGCACGCGUGCUACACUGAUGCAUACAGCGAGUACUCCCAGCUCCGAGAGGCUGCUGGUAAUCAGCAAUAUGCAUCGUGCUGGGGAUAGAUCUUUGGAAUUAUAGAUCUUGAACGAGGAAUUCCUAGUAAUCGCAGGUCAUCACCCUGCGUUGACUAAGUCCCUGCCCUUUGUACACACCGCCCGUCGCUCCUACCGAUUUCGAGUGAUCCGGUGAAUCAUUCGGACCGCGGCCCCUAGGCAUGCGGAAAGUCUAGUAAACCAUAUCACUUAGAGGAAGGAGAAGUCGUAACA